CAUAUUUGGAGCUUAAAAGCACAGGAUGAAAUGACUUCAAAUAAAUAAGACAUUAUUGAAGUCCUAGUAGAGAUUAUGGGGUUAUAAGUUGAAGUUGGAAGUGUGACUUAUUUUCAUGUUAACUUUAUCAGCAUUUGAAAAGAGGCUGAUGUUUUAAAAUUUGGAAAUUGUCCUGGCUUAGUAAAUAUUUUUAAAGAUUAAUAAAUAGUUUAUGAUGAUAGUGAAAUUAAUUGAUAGCACUAAAUGGACUUAAUUAAAAAGUUGCUAUUUUAAAGAAAAUUAUUUAUUAGUUUUUUAUUAUGAAGUUUGUUCACAAUAUAUUUAUGAUAUUUUAUGAUUUGCAUAAUAUCUUGAACAAGCUACUGUGAUCUGAAACUUUCCAUAUAAAAUCUGAAAUUUGCUUUCCAAAGAAAUGUACUAAUAAGCUUUCUACAAUAUUUUUCUUUUCAUAAAUCUGAUGGGUAUUAGCAUUGAAGGGUAAGCCAACUUUUUCUGACUUCUUUCCAAUAGUUGAACUUAUAUAUAGUGUAAAGACAUAAAAGUUAAGUGCAUUUCAGCAAAGCAUAGAAAAGACCUUUUGUUGAGGCUUCAUCAGUCCCAAAGAUAUUUGUUUGUAUGAUGUAAUCUUUCAAAUAGGAUGUUGAGUAAUUCUCUAACUGGAACCAAAGUGCACUUUAGACAUUGUUUCUGACCAUGCGUCACUUUGCAGUUCUCCUAUAGGCAUUUCAAUGUUCAAAUGUAGCUAUAAUUCACUACUUUGAUAAAGAGCUACUAAAAUUGCUUUGCUUACACAUUUUAGAAGUUUUUAUGUUGAGAAAAGUAGUGAUUUGGAGAAAAGGAAUAUUGGGAGUAAGGAGAGAGGUAAUGGGGAUAUACAGAGUAAUAUGCACAAUUUUAUGGAAAAGAGGCAUAUUUUCUAUGAAUAGGGGACAUAAAUUAUAUACUAUCCUUUGAAAAUUUGUUGUUGCUGAACUACAUGAUAGCUGUCUGAAGAUGUUAUAGUUAAGGUAAAAAAGUCAAAAUACUUUUUUAGUUCCUUCACUUCAACUAGUGACAUUUGUACAAAAUGAGCUCCUGAAUCUAUACAAUUUUGAAAAAUGUAAAUGAAUCACUACAAAUGGGGAUUUUUAAGCUGAUAUAUAUAAUCUGUGGAGAUUUUUAGUUGGGUGGGCCCAAUUGCUAUUAACAUGACACUUUUCACUAAUGGUGCUAAUUGAUAGUGGGUAAAAUGCAAGAUUCUUCAGCUAAGGGUGACCAAAGAUAAAUAACACUAAUUUUUAUUGUCUAUUCAGUGAAAAUAUAAUGUCUAACUCUUCUACAUCAUGGGGUUGUUUGUGGGGCAGUGAUUUUUGUUUGACUUUUUCCCUCUUGCUGUCCCCCCUUGUGUUGACCUGCAAAGAACAUACAAUUGUAAAUAAGUAUUUCUCAUUCACUCUAUCUUGCUAAGCUUUUAUUUUUCUUGAAUAUAACAAACCCAUUACUAUAUUUCUCAUGAAUUUUGAAAGUGACUUCAACAUUCACAGAUUGAGAGUUUGCAUUUUAAAGCAAAAGAUCAUGUCCUGAUGUUUAUUUAUAUAACAAAGCAAAGUUCAUUGCUCUCAGCUUAAGAGGAUGACAACAUAAUAAAUUUC
rnacentral:lncRNA from 1 species